GGUGGUGGGUAGUGCUGUGUGUUACUCUGUUGGGCAGAGCUCAGUAAAACUUCAAUCAGCUUGUCUGCUGAGGGGUGGGGCUGGAUUCCCUCCCUGUUGGUUGUUUGGCUUGAGGCAACCCAACACUGAAGCCUACCCAGGCUCUUUGGUGGGGCUAAUGGCAGACUCUGGGAGGGCUCACGCCAAGGAGUACUUCCCAGAACUUCUCCUGCCAGUGUCAUUGUCCUCACGCUAAGCCACAGCCACCCCCCGCCUCUGCAGGAGACCCUCCAACACUAGCAGCUUGGGGGAAACUCUUGCGAUUGUUGUGCUGGUGCUCAGGAGAGAAUAUACAAACAGCUCAUACAACUCAACAACAAAAAAAGAAACAAUGCAAUCCAAAAAUGGACAGAAGACCUAAAUAGACAUUUCUCCAAAGAAGACAUAGAGAUGGCCAACAGAUAAAGGCUCCCUCACGCCCCCCUCCUGUUUCCUGCUCAGGAUCCCACCCCCAAAGGUAAUGACUAUUAUGGUUUCUAUCACCAUCAUUUUGGCUGGAUUGAGGACUCAUAAACUGGAUCAUAAAUGAAAUCAUUUGUCUCUGAUUUUUUAUAUUCAACAUUAUGUCAGUGAGAGUCAUCCAUAUUAUUGUGUGUAUACGUAGUUUGGGUUGUCUUUUUCUAUUGCUGUGUGUAACUGCAUUGUAUGAAUACAACACAAUUCAUUUCAUUCUAGUUUUAAUGGCUAAUUGGGUUGUUUCCUAUUUUGGACAAUUAUGAAUAAAACUGCUGUGGUCCUUCUUGAACACGCCUUUUGGUGAACACAAGCAUUCAUUUGAUAUAUACCUAGGGGUAGGGCUGCUAGGUCAUAAAGUAAGCAUGUGUUUAGCCUUGCUAAAUGUCAAAAAACAGUUUUGUAAAGUGGUUGUACCAACUGAACACUCCCAUUGAUAGUAUAAGAGAGUUCUUGUUGUUUACAUCCUCACCACACUGGGUAUCAUCAGCUUUUUAAUGUUAGCCUAUAUGAUGGGGGUGUGGCAGUAUCACAUUGUGGUUUCAAUUUCCACUUUUUAUAACCACUGAUUAUAUUGUAUCAGUGAUAUGUAACAUAUUUUAGGGGGGCAUUUGGAUAUCCUAGUUUGUGAAAUGCUAUUCAAGUAUUUUACGCAUUUUUAGAGUCUAACUUUUUAUAAUUGAUUUGUAGAAGUUUUAAAAAAUACAUUCUGGAUAUGGGUCCUACUUUGGAUUUAUAUAUUACAAAUAUCUUCUCUUGAGAAUUGUCAUUUCACUCUAUUAAUAGUGUCUUUUAAAAAUAAAGUCUACUUUAUAAAUAUUUUCUUUUAUGAUUGGGACAUUUGGUAUCCUUUUUAAAAAAAUUCUUGCCUAUCCCAAUAUCAUAAAAAUAUUUCCCUCUGUUUACUUCUACAAGUUUAAUUGUUUUAGGUCAUGAUUUAUGCUCCAUAACAAAAAGUUGCUCUCUGUGGUGAAAGGUAGAAGUCAAGGCUCGCUUUUUGGACAUAGAUACAUGAUUUACCUGACACAAAUAAUUGAAAAGAUCAUUCAUUCCUCACUAAGUUCAUUAUAGUGAGCCAUUAGCUCAAAAUAUUUUUUAGUUAUUUUCACAUAUCUGUUCUUUAUCACAAAUAGAUUUUGAAUUUUAUAAAGUACUUUUUCUGUAUCUAUUGGAAUGAUCAUAUGGUUUUCUUUUUAUUCAAUUAUAGUGAAUUACAUUUAUUGAUUUUCAGAUACUG